CCUACGGGUGACUGCAGUGAGGAAUAUUGGUCAAUGGGCGAGAGCCUGAACCAGCCAAGUCGCGUGAGGGAAGACGGUCCUACGGAUUGUAAACCUCUUUUGUCAGGGAGCAAGCCGCGCCACGUGUGGUUCUUCGCGUGUACCUUAUGAAUAAGCAUCGGCUAACUCCGUGCCAGCAGCCGCGGUAAUACGGAGGAUUCGAGCGUUAUUCGGAUUUAUUGGGUUUAAAGGGUGCGCAGGCGGAAGCGGCAAGUCAGCGGUAAAAUUGCGGGGCUAAACCUCGACGAGCCGUUGAUACUGGUAGUCGAGAGUGGGCGUGAGGUAGGCGGAAUUCGUGGUGUAGCGGUGAAAUGCAUAGAUAUCACGCAGAACUCCGAUUGCGAAGGCAGCAUACCAGAGCGCAACUGACGCUGAUGCACGAAAGCGUGGGUAUCGAACAGGAUUAGAUACCCGGGUAGUC
rnacentral:rRNA from 1 species